rnacentral:rRNA from 1 species
UACGAAGGGGGCUAGCGUUGCUCGGAAUCACUGGGCGUAAAGGGUGCGUAGGCGGGUUUUAAGUCAGGGGUGAAAUCCUGGAGCUCAACUCCAGAACUGCCUUUGAUACUGAAGAUCUUGAGUCCGGGAGAGGUGAGUGGAACUGCGAGUGUAGAGGUGAAAUUCGUAGAUAUUCGCAAGAACACCAGUGGCGAAGGCGGCUCACUGGCCCGGUACUGACGCUGAGGCACGAAGGUCAGGGGAGCAAACGGG